AUAACAACUGGUCAAAAAAAAAAAUCUAACAUUAACAAGUGUAACGUUUUGCAAACCUUAAACACCGCACUGUUGUUGAGUCAGAAAAACCGAAAAACAUUAAACUCCGUAACACAAAAGAAGGUUCUAGUAAUUAUCGUACAAUCUUUGUUCGUGAACUUUGAAACAGUUGUGGAGGGAGGAAGGUACUACUACUACUAUCAUCCACUAAAAUCUACACCUCACUUCUUUAUUCUAUCUAAUACUAUUUCACUAUUCAUCCCAACUAUUUUCCUUAAAACCUCAAUUUUCAAUCUCCCAUCGUUUUUUCUCUUUCUCUUGGAAAAUGCUAUAACCUUCAACAAAGGUAAUGAUUCUCAACUUCAUUCUAUACUAUUCUAUUGUAUUGUGUUACUCUCUUAUAGCUUAAUGAAAGAGGCCUCAUUGGGGUUCUUGUUUUUUUUUUUUUUUUUUCAAUGUUGUAA